UACGAAGGGGGCUAGCGUUGCUCGGAAUCACUGGGCGUAAAGCGCACGUAGGCGGAUCUUUAAGUCAGGGGUGAAACUCCCAAGGCUCAACCUUGGAACUGCCUUUGAUACUGGGGAUCUCGAGUCCGGAAGAGGUGAGUGGAACUGCGAGUGUAGAGGUGAAAUUCGUAGAUAUUCGCAAGAACACCAGUGGCGAAGGCGGACUCACUGGUCCGGAACUGACGACUG
rnacentral:rRNA from 1 species